CCCUUAGAUGUUCUGGGCUGCACGCGCACUACACUGAAGCGUUCAACGAGUAUUCACCUUGCCCGGGAGGGUUGGGUAAUCUUUUGAAAACGCUUCGUGAUGGGGAUAGAUUAUUGCAAUUAUUAAUCUUCAACGAGGAAUUCCUAGUAAGCGCGAGUCAUCAGCUCGUGCUGAUUACGUCCCUGCCCUUUGUACACACCGCCCGUCGCUCCUACCGAUUGAGUGGUCCGGUGAAUAAUUCGGACUGCAGCACUGCUUGGUCUCCAGGCUUUGCAGCGGAAAGUUUAGUGAACCUUAUCACUUAGAGGAAGGAGAAGUCGUAACA
rnacentral:rRNA from 1 species